GCAAUAGAAGCUAAAUAAAGCAUCGGUCUUGUAAGCCGAAGAUUGAAGGAAUACUUUUUAUUGCU
rnacentral:tRNA from 1 species